rnacentral:misc_RNA from 2 species
AACGCACCUUGCGCUCCCUGGUAUUCCGGGGAGCAUGCCUGUUUGAGUGUCAUUAAAUUCUCAACCCCGAUCGGAUUUGUUUUCGCAUUCGGAGGCUUGGAUCGUGGAGCGUGCUGGCCCCCUCUCAUGGGUCGGCUCCUCUUAAACGCAUUCGCGGAAUUGACUUUGGUCCGUUUCGGUCAUCAGUGUGAUAAAUGUUGCGCUGUUGGCUAGGAUCGAGGUGCCGCAUACAAUCGUCUUCGGACAACUUUAUGACCAUUUGGCCUCAAAUCAGGUAGGACUACCCGCUGAACUUAA